rnacentral:tRNA from 1 species
GUUAAUGUAGCUUAAUAAUAUAAAGCAAGG